rnacentral:rRNA from 1 species
AGUGAACGCUGGCGGUAGGCCUAACACAUGCAAGUCGAACGGCAGCACAGUAAGAGCUUGCUCUUACGGGUGGCGAGUGGCGGACGGGUGAGGAAUACAUCGGAAUCUACUUUUUCGUGGGGGAUAAUGUAGGGAAACUUACGCUAAUACCGCAUACGACCUACGGGUGAAAGCAGGGGAUCUUCGGACCUUGCGCGAUUGAAUGAGCCGAUGUCGGAUUAGCUAGUUGGCGGAGUAAAGGCCCACCAAGGCGACGAUCCGUAGCUGGUCUGAGAGGAUGAUCAGCCACACUGGAACUGAGACACGGUCCAGACUCCUACGGGAGGCGGCAGUGGGGAAUAUUGGACAAUGGGCGCAAGCCUGAUCCAGCCAUACCGCGUGGGUGAAGAAGGCCUUCGGGUUGUAAAGCCCUUUUGUUGGGAAAGAAAAGCAGCAGGUUAAUACCCCGCUGUUCUGACGGUACCCAAAGAAUAAGCACCGGCUAACUUCGUG